ACAGAUCGUUCUAGAGUUUGAUCCUAGGCUCAGGAGAACGCUGGCGGCGUGCUUAACACAUGCAAGUCGAGCGGGGGAUCUCGGACAGAAGUCUUCGGAUGGAAGGAAGAGAUUCUAGCGGCGGACGGGUGAGUAACGCGUGAGCAAUCUGUCCCAGACAGGGGGAUAACACUUGGAAACAGGUGCUAAUACCGCAUAAGACCACAGCAUCGCAUGGUGCAGAGGUAAAAGGAGAAAUCCGGUUUGGGGUGAGCUCGCGUCCGAUUAGCUAGUUGGUGAGGUAACGGCCCACCAAGGCGACGAUCGGUAGCCGACCUGAGAGGGUGAUCGGCCACAUUGGAACUGAGACACGGUCCAA
rnacentral:rRNA from 1 species